GGAACACAGACAUGGCGGGAAGGUGUCGUGCGUCGGUCUCUUGCGUCUUAAGACGCUUUUAGCCGUCUAAAUGUUCCAGCUAAGCCGCUACUUGCACUCCAUAUUGUGUGCAAGAUAAAGGAGUACACCUACGUGAAAGUACCCACAUGGCAGAGGUCCUAGCUGAAGUCCUAGCAGAAGUCCCAGCACAAAUCCUAGCCUAACUCAAGAUGUGCGAGUGAAGGUGGUGGCUGGCCAGAUAAACACGAAGAGGGAGGUGGCGCCAAGAGAUGCGGGGGGGGGGAGCCUCCCUUUCAUCCAUUUCUCUGAUACAAGCAUCACUACUACCAUGAGGGCUGUGUCCAAACUCUCCUGCAGUCUCCUGCUGCUCGUGCUGGUCUCCGUCGCCCUCUCCGGCAGGGGCGUCAUCGCUACCCCGCUGCCCCAGCACCUCCGCCAGUCAUCUGAAAUCCACGGCCACGGCAAUUCCGAAUCUAUCCACCACCACCGUCCUCCAAUCCACGGCAGUUCUGAAUCAAUCCACCACCGACCCCCAGGCCACGCCACUCCACCCACGUUCCCCGUCACUCCAACGACCCAUAUCAUUCCAACGACCCAUUUCAUUCCAACGGUCACUACGCCCAUAGGCACCCAUAAUGAGGCCACAGUCCUGCAUUCGUUUGUUCUCUGUAUUCCUACGAUAUUGUGCCAAAUUAACAAGAAAUGAAGCGGGUCUUGUUUACUGCACACGUCGUCUGCUGUGCACUCUUAGGCUGUUACGUUAUUGUUAGAUUAAUCUUACUGUUACGUGUUUGUUACACUGUUAUGUCUGUUUUGAUUUGUAUUGUGACACACUGUAGAUUUUGAUGUUAUUUUGUCGUUACUUGUUUCAUAUGUAUAUCAUCGCUAUAUGUUUGUCACGGAGGACAGUGUGUGUGUGUGUGUCAACUACCAAACAUUCUUUACACACACACAUUGUACACAGCUGCCAAAAUAAACACCACGUGUUCCCCUUUAA